rnacentral:rRNA from 1 species
GCGGAGGGAUCAUUACUGAGUUUACGCUCUACAACCCUUUGUGAACAUACCUAUAACUGUUGCUUCGGCGGGUAGGGUCUCCGCGACCCUCCCGGCCUCCCGCCUCCGGGCGGGUCGGCGCCCGCCGGAGGAUAACCAAACUCUGAUUUAACGACGUUUCUUCUGAGUGGUACAAGCAAAUAAUCAAAACUUUUAACAACGGAUCUCUUGGUUCUGGCAUCGAUGAAGAACGCAGCGAAAUGCGAUAAGUAAUGUGAAUUGCAGAAUUCAGUGAAUCAUCGAAUCUUUGAACGCACAUUGCGCCCGCCAGCAUUCUGGCGGGCAUGCCUGUUCGAGCGUCAUUUCAACCCUCAAGCUCUGCUUGGUGUUGGGGCCCUACAGCUGAUGUAGGCCCUCAAAGGUAGUGGCGGACCCUCCCGGAGCCUCCUUUGCGUAGUAACUUUACGUCUCGCACUGGGAUCCGGAGGGACUCUUGCCGUAAAACCCCCAAUUUUCCAAAGGUUGACCUCGGAUCAG